rnacentral:misc_RNA from 1 species
GAUGAAGAACGCAGCGAAAUGCGAUAAGUAAUGCGAAUUGCAGAUCUCCGUGAGUCAUUGAAUCUUUGAACGCACAUUGCGCCCGCCAGCACUCUGGCGGGCAUGCCUGUUCGAGCGUCAUUUCAACCAUCAAGCCCCAGGCUUGCGUUGGAGCCCUGCGGCUGCCGCAGCCUCCUAAAAGCAGUGGCGGGCUCGCUAUCACACCGAGUGCAGUAGAUUACUCUUCGCUCAGGGCGUGCAGCGGGUUCCGGCCGUGAAACCCCCUACUUUUAAAGGUUGACCUCGGAUCAGGUAGGAAUACCCGCUGAACUUAAGCAUAUCAAUAAGCGGAGGA